UAGACACGCACUUGGGAUGAGCAGUUCAUAUGCUUAUAGUCUUUGGGUAGCUGUGGAUCUGACUGUGACUUUGUGAGGGUGAGAGGGGAUGUGUUGACAAUCAGUGUGUGAUGGUGUGUUGUCCAGGUAUCCGUGGAUCUGUGACUUUGUGAGGUUGAGAGGGGAUGUGUUGACAAUCAGUGUGUGAUGGUGUGUUGUCCAGGUAUCCGUGGAUCUGACUGUGACUUUGUGAGGGUGAGAGGGGAUGUGUUGACAAUCAGUGUGUGAUGGUGCGUUGUCCAGGUAUCCUUGGAUCUGACUGUGACUUUGUGAGGGUGAGAGGGGAUGUGUUGACAAUCAGUGUGUGAUGGUGUGUUGUCCAGGUACCCGUGGAUCUGACUGUGACUUUGUGAGGUUGAGAGGGGAUGUGUUGACAAUCAGUGUGUGAUGGUGUGUUGUCCAGGUAUCCGUGGAUCUGACUGUGACUUUGUGAGGUUGAGAGGGGAUGUGUUGACAAUCAGUGUGUGAUGGUGUGUUGUCCAGGUAUCCGUGGAUCUGACUGUGACUUUGUGAGGUUGAGAGGGGAUGUGUUGACAAUCAGUGUGUGAUGGUGUGUUGUCCAGGUAUCCGUGGAUCUGACUGUGACUUUGUGAGGGUUGAGAGGGGAUGUGUUGACAAUCAGUGUGUGAUGGUGUGUUGUCCAGGUAUCCGUGGAUCUGACUGUGACUUUGUGAGGUUGAGAGGGGAUGUGUUGACAAUCAGUGUGUGAUGGUGUGUUGUCCAGGUAUCCGUGGAUCUGACUGUGACUUUGUGAGGUUGAGAGGGGAUGUGUUGACAAUCAGUGUGUGAUGGUGUGUUGUCCAGGUAUCCGUGGAUCUGACUGUGACUUUGUGAGGUUGAGAGGGGAUGUGUUGACAAUCAGUGUGUGAUGGUGUGUUGUCCAGGUACCCACGGAUCUGACUGUGACUUUCUCAGGUUGAGAGGGGAUGUGUUGACAAUCAGUGUGUGAUGGUGUGUUGUCCAGGUAUCCGUGGAUCUGACUGUGACUUUGUGAGGUUGAGAGGGGAUGUGUUGACAAUCAGUGUGUGAUGGUGUGUUGUCCAGGUACCCGUGGAUCUGACUGUGACUUUGUGAUGGUUGAGAGGGGAUGUGUUGACAAUCAGUGUGUGAUGGUGUGUUGUCCAGGUACCCGUGGAUCUGACUGUGACUUUCUCAGGUUGAGAGGGGAUGUGUUGACAAUCAGUGUGUGAUGGUGUGUUGUCCAGGUACCCGUGGAUCUGACUGUGACUUUGUGAGGUUGAGAGGGGAUGUGUUGACAAUCAGUGUGUGAUGGUGUGUUGUCCAGGUACCUGUGGAUCUGACUGUGACUUUGUGAGGUUGAGAGGGGAUGUGUUGACAAUCAGUGUGUGAUGGUGUGUUGUCCAGGUACCCGUGGAUCUGACUGUGACUUUGUGAGGUUGAGAGGGGAUGUGUUGACAAUCAGUGUGUGAUGGUGUGUUGUCCAGGUACCCGUGGAUCUGACUGUGACUUUGUGAGGUUGAGAGGGGAUGUGUUGACAAUCAGUGUGUGAUGGUGUGUUGUCCAGGUACCCGUGGAUCUGACUGUGACUUUCUCAGGUUGAGAGGGGGAUGUGUUGACAAUCAGUGUGUGAUGGUGUGUUGUCCAGGUACCCGUGGAUCUGACUGUGACUUUGUGAGGGUGAGAGGGGAUGUGUUGACAAUCAGUGUGUGAUGGUGUGUUGUCCAGGUACCCGUGGAUCUGACUGUGACUUUCUCAGGUUGAGAGGGGAUGUGUUGACAAUCAGUGUGUGAUGGUGUGUUGUCCAGGUACCCGUGGAUCUGACUGUGACUUUGUGAGGUUGAGAGGGGAUGUGUUGACAAUCAGUGUGUGAUGGUGUGUUGUCCAGGUACCCGUGGAUCUGACUGUGACUUUGUGAGGGUGAGAGGGGAUGUGUUGACAAUCAGUGUGUGAUGGUGUGUUGUCCAGGUAUCCGUGGAUCUGACUGUGACUUUGUGAGGUUGAGAGGGGAUGUGUUGACAAUCAGUGUGUGAUGGUGUGUUGUCCAGGUACCCGUGGAUCUGACUGUGACUUUGUGAUGGUUGAGAGGGGAUGUGUUGACAAUCAGUGUGUGAUGGUGUGUUGUCCAGGUAUCCGUGGAUCUGACUGUGACUUUGUGAGGUUGAGAGGGGAUGUGUUGACAAUCAGUGUGUGAUGGUGUGUUGUCCAGGUAUCCGUGGAUCUGACUGUGACUUUGUGAGGGUGAGAGGGGAUGUGUUGACAAUCAGUGUGUGAUGGUGUGUUGUCCAGGUAUCCGUGGAUCUGACUGUGACUUUGUGAGGGUGAGAGGGGAUGUGUUGACAAUCAGUGUGUGAUGGUGUGUUGUCCAGAUAUCCGUGGAUCUGACUGUGACUUUGUGAGGGUGAGAGGGGAUGUGUUGACAAUCAGUGUGUGAUGGUGUGUUGUCCAGGUACCUGUGGAUCUGACUGUGGCUUUCUCAGGUUGAGAGGGGAUGUGUUGACAAUCAGUGUGUGAUGGUGUGUUGUCCAGGUACCCGUGGAUCUGACUGUGACUUUGUGAGGUUGAGAGGGGAUGUGUUGACAAUCAGUGUGUGAUGGUGUGUUGUCCAGGUACCCGUGGAUCUGACUGUGGCUUUCUCAGGUUGAGAGGGGAUGUGUUGACAAUCAGUGUGUGAUGGUGUGUUGUCCAGGUACCCGUGGAUCUGACUGUGACUUUGUGAGGUUGAGAGGGGAUGUGUUGACAAUCAGUGUGUGAUGGUGUGUUGUCCAGGUAUCCGUGGAUCUGACUGUGACUUUGUGAGGGUGAGAGGGGAUGUGUUGACAAUCAGUGUGUGAUGGUGUGUUGUCCAGGUAUCCGUGGAUCUGACUGUGACUUUGUGAGGUUGAGAGGGGAUGUGUUGACAAUCAGUGUGUGAUGGUGUGUUGUCCAGGUAUCCGUGGAUCUGUGACUUUGUGAGGGUUGAGAGGGGAUGUGUUGACAAUCAGUGUGUGAUGGUGUGUUGUCCAGGUAUCCGUGGAUCUGACUGUGACUUUGU